CGAGAUACUUGAUAUUCAAGAGGUUUAGUCAAAUAAUAUUGACACGCUAAGAAGCACUUGUGCAAAUCAUUAAGCUUAGGCAUGCAUCUCUCCUUGGCACACUCCAUGAAAAUGCGGUCUCUCUCCAUUAAACCACCACCUGUUCCGACAGCACUCUUUAAAGAGCUAUUCUCACCGUUCACGCACCAUGUCGCGUUCAUAAGCAUAGCCACUACUAUGACCAAUAUCACCACUCUCUCGUUUAUUCCUUUUGCAUCCAUUUUCUAGUUUUCACCAAUUACUUUAUUUUUAUACUAAUUUUGCUUUUUGAUUUAUAGUUUUGGGAAAAGA
rnacentral:lncRNA from 1 species